rnacentral:rRNA from 1 species
AUACGUAGGGGGCGAGCGUUGUCCGGAAUGAUUGGGCGUAAAGGGCGCGUAGGCGGCCUGUUAAGUCUGGAGUGAAAGUCCUGUUUUCAAGAUGGGAAUUGCUUUGGAUACUGAUGGGCUUGAGUGCAGGAGAGGUUAUCGGAAUUCCCGGUGUAGCGGUGAAAUGCGUAGAGAUCGGGAGGAACACCAGUGGCGAAGGCGGGUAACUGGACUGCAACUGACGCUGAGGCGCGAAAGUGUGGGGAGCAAACAGGAUUAGAUACCCCGGUAGUCCUGGCCGUAAACGAUGGGUACUAGGUGUGGGAGGUAUCGACUCCUUCCGUGCCGGAGUUAACGCAAUAAGUACCCCGCCUGGGGAGUACGGCCGCAAGGCUUAAACUCAAAUGAAUUGACGGGG